UCCCUGGUAGUCCAGUGGUUAAGGCUCUGCACUUCCACUGCAGGGGGCAUAGGUUUGAUUCCUGGUCAGGGAA
rfam:TPA: Bos taurus chromosome 8, whole genome shotgun sequence.